rnacentral:lncRNA from 1 species
UAAUGAUUUUUUAUAAUGUAAUAAUUAUUCACUGAAUUUUCUUGUACCAAGGGCCUGUUGUAUCUCAGUCUCUAAACAGAGCGAAAUGAGAGGAGAAAAUGACUUAAGUUGGUUGAACAUCUAGUCUGUGUACUCUGCCUAGUGUUUUUAACUGGAUUAUGUCCUCCAGCACUCUGGUAAGGUAUCUUCUAUAUGCUGGGCCUUUUAUUGGAAACCAGGGUGAUGGUGAUGAGCUUGCCUUCAGGAAGUUAACACCUGGGCCACCCAGCAAACCUUCACACUAUGGUCAAGUGUCAGGAAGAGAGAGAGAGAAAUAACAAAGCAUGGCACAAGUACCCCAAGUAAGAUGAGGUGAGUUUAGAAGAUCCGUCUGAGGAGGUCUCAUUGUGCUGCCCUAGAAGGCUGGGGAGCACAGACAGCCAAAUGGAGGAGAGGAGUCAGCUGUGAGUGGGGAUGCUGUGCAAAGGAGACAUGAGAAGGAAGACGAGGCGAGCAAGCAGAGUCAGGGGCUUGAAAUUUUAGCUUGGAGUAGUGCUUCUCAAAUUAACUGGGGAAGCGUGAGCUCUACCUUGUCUCUCUUCCCUCACACACCAAUACUCCUGUAAAAUAGUUAUCCCCCCAUUUCCACGUGUUCUACAUCCAUAGAUUCAACCAUCACAGAUUAAAAGUAUCAGGGGAAAAAGCAAUGGUGUCUGUAUUAAAGUGUACAGACUUUUUGCCUCAUUAUUAUUCCCUAAGCAAUAUAAUCUAACAACUAUUUGCAUAGCACUUGCUCUGUAAUAGGUAUUACAACUCAUCCAGAGAUGAUUUAAAGUAUACAGGGGACAUAUACAGAUUAUAUUCAAACACUGUACCAUUUUAUAUAAAGGAUGAGAGCCACAUUUUGGUAUCCACAGGAUCCUGAAACCAAUUUCUGUGGUUACCAAGGGACAACUACAGAUCAAAAAGUGAAUCAGUAGAAAAAUAAAAUGAAAAAGGCAAGACAAAAAAAUAGCACAAAUUUAUGAUUACAGACAAAUUUAUUCAACAGACAAAAAUUACUUAAUUAAAUGGUUGUUAUUACUGUAUUUCUCUUACAAUGAAGAUAGUUUGCAAACAGGAACUGUUGAAGGACCACACUUUGAAAAGCACUGCUUCCACAUCCCCAGUGAGUCAUUGAAUCUGUGUCUUGAAGAAUAAGAAACAUUCAGCCAGAGAACAAGUAGUAAAAACCAGGUGAGGUGAGCAGGAAGGGCAAAAGCAGAGCCAUGUAAAGCAUGCUGAUAUGUUUGGAGCAUCCGAUUUCUGUUUGCCUAGUAAGUUGAGGAGUGAUAUUUGCAAGUAGUUCUCAGGUAGUACAGGGAUUUUCUUGCUAUGAUGAAAUGCUAAGCAACAGAAACAUAACUGAGUAAGUUCUAAGUCUCCAAAGCAUCUGCCAGAAUCACUGCUUGUGUUUGCUGUAAAAGCAACCAGGUGCCCGUCCACCUGCUAAAUUGCAUUGUUUCGCCCAUCUGAUUAUCAGCCUCAGCACACUUAUUCCAAAAAAUAAAAGAAAGAAAAGGCAAAACACUAGCCUUUGACUGGAUCAACACAGCUCGACCCUUGAACAACACAAGUUUGAACUGUGUAUGACAUCUUUUUUUAAAAUGUGGGACAAUUUGAAAAAACUCAUGUAGCCAAG